UACGGGGGGGGCAAGCGUUGUUCGGAAUUACUGGGCGUAAAGGGUUCGUAGGUGGCUUGUUAAGUCAGACGUGAAAUCCCUCGGCUCAACCGGGGAACUGCGUCUGAGACUGAUGAGCUCGAGUGCAGGAGAGGAACGCGGAAUUCCAGGUGUAGCGGUGAAAUGCGUAGAUAUCUGGAGGAACACCGGUGGCGAAGGCGGCGUUCUGGACUGCAACUGACACUGAGGAACGAAAGCCAGGGGAGCAAACGGG
rnacentral:rRNA from 1 species